rnacentral:misc_RNA from 1 species
AGCAGCCGCGGUAAUUCCAGCUCCAAUAGCGUAUAUUAAAGUUGUUGCAGUUAAAAAGCUCGUAGUUGAAUUUCGAGAUCAAAUUGUUGGUCGUGCCUUGGUACGCACUGGCAUUAUUGGUUUCUCCCUGCUGACGAAUCAUGAUGUCAUUAAUUUGGUGUCUUGGGGAAUCAGGACUGUUACUUUGAAAAAAUUUAGAGUGUUUAAAGCAGGCUCACGCUUGAAUACAUUAGCAUGGAAUAAUGAAAUAGGACGUUUGAUUCUAUUUUGUUGGUUUCUAGGAUCGACGUAAUGAUUAAUAGGGAUAGUUGGGGGCAUUAGUAUUCAAUUGUCAGAGGUGAAAUUCUUGGAUUUAUUGAAGACUAACUACUGCGAAAGCAUUUGCCAAGGAUGUUUUCAUUAAUCAAGAACGAAAGUUAGGGGAUCGAAGACGAUCAGAUACCGUCGUAGUCUUAACCAUAAACUAUGCCGACUAGGGAUCGGAUGAUGUUAAUUUUUUAAUGACUCAUUCGGCGCCUUA